GAUGAACGCUAGCUACAGGCUUAACACAUGCAAGUCGAGGGGAAACGGCAUUGAGUGCUUGCACUGAAUGGACGUCGACCGGCGCACGGGUGAGUAACGCGUAUCCAACCUUCCCAUAACUAAGGGAUAACCUGCCGAAAGGCAGACUAAUACCUUAUGUAAUCCUUUGACGGCAUCAGAUUAGGAUUAAAGAUUUAUCGGUUAUGGAUGGGGAUGCGUCUGAUUAGCUUGUUGGCGGGGUAACAGCCCACCAAGGCGACGAUCAGUAGGGGUUCUGAGAGGAAGGUCCCCCACAUUGGAACUGAGACACGGUCCAAACUCCUACGGGAGGCGCAGUGAGGAAUAUUGGUCAAUGGACGUAAGUCUGAACCAGCCAAGUAGCGUGCAGGAUGACGGCCCUAUGGGUUGUAAACUGCUUUUGUAUGGGGAUAAAGUCAAUCACGUGUGAUU
rnacentral:rRNA from 1 species